rnacentral:tRNA from 1 species
GCGCCCGUAGCUCAGUUGGAUAGAGCGUGCGACUCCGACUCGCAAGGCCACCGGUUCGACUCCGGUCGGGCGUGCCA